rnacentral:tRNA from 1 species
GACCGCGUAGCUCAGUUGGCAGAGCAUUAUUGGGCUAGUAUUCCAAGGGUCGUAGGUUCGAUUCCCACCGUGGUCA